UAAAGUUGUUGCAGUUAAAAAGCUCGUAAUUGAAUUUUAGGCCUGGCCGGGCGGUCCGUCUUUGGCGAGUACUGUUCUGUGUCGGGUCUUACCUUCUGGUGAACCGGCACGUUCUUUUAUCGCGUGUGCCGUGGGAACCAGGACCAUUACCUUGAAAAAAUUAGAGUGUUUAAAGCGGGCUUUUGCUUGAAUAGAUUAGCAUGGAAUAAUAAAANAGGACGUUGGUUCUAUUUUGUUGGUCUAGGACCACCGUAAUGAUUAAUAGGG
rnacentral:rRNA from 1 species